UACGUAGGGGGCAAGCGCUGUCCGGAAUCAUUGGGCGUAAAGAGCGUGUAGGCGGCCCGAUAAGUCCGCUGUGAAAGUCCAGGGCUCAACCCUGGGAUGCCGGUGGAUACUGUCGGGCUCGAGUCCGGAAGAGGAGUGUGGAAUUCCUGGUGUAGCGGUGAAAUGCGCAGAUAUCAGGAGGAACACCAAUGGCGAAGGCAGCACUCUGGGACGUGACUGACGCUGAGACGCGAAAGCGUGGGGAGCAAACAGG
rnacentral:rRNA from 1 species